AGAGUUUGAUCCUGGCUCAGGAUGAACGCUAGCUACAGGCUUAACACAUGCAAGUCGAGGGGAAACGAUAGUUGGAAGCUUGCUUCCGAUAGGCGUCGACCGGCGCACGGGUGAGUAACGCGUAUCCAACCUGCCCACCACUUGGGGAUAACCGUUGCGAAAGUAAGACUAAUACCCAAUGAUAUCUCUAGAAGACAUCUGAAAGAGAUUAAAGAUUUAUCGGUGAUGGAUGGGGAUGCGUCUGAUUAGCUUGUUGGCGGGGUAACGGCCCACCAAGGCAACGAUCAGUAGGGGUUCUGAGAGGAAGGUCCCCCACAUUGGAACUGAGACACGGUCCAAACUCCUACGGGAGGCAGCA
rnacentral:rRNA from 1 species